rnacentral:lncRNA from 1 species
CUCAGGGCAGCGCCAGUUUUUGCAGAAGUAUUAAUAGCCCCUCCUUUCACUCCCCCAAGCGUCUUCGAUGGGAUGGUUAGUUAUAAGGUCACGCUACAGAAAACAUAACACCAGGCCUGGAGAAGUUCAGAGUCAGGGUGAGAGAAAAGACUGGGAGGAGGAGGUGGGCACUGGAGACCAGAUAACCAGAGAGAUAACAGAUAGAUACAUAGAUAGACAGGUCAUAGAGAUACAUAGAUAAGAUAGAUGAUAGAUAAGACACAUAGAUGAUUGAUAGAUGAUAGAUAGAUAGAUAGAUAGAUAGAUAGAUAGAUAGAUAGAUAGAUGAUAGAUACAUACAAUAUAUAUAGAUGAGUAGAUAAAGAUAGAUAGGUACAGCCAGGCAUGGUGGCUCAUGCCUGUAAUCCCAGCACUUUGGGGGGCCGAGGCAGGAGGAUCACUUGAGUCCAGAGUUCAAGACCAGCCUGGGCAACAUAACGGGACCCCGUCUCUAUUAAAUAAAUUUUUAAAAAGAUAGAUAGGUAAUAGAUACAUAGAUGACAGACACAUAGGUACAUAAUACAUACAUAGAUGAUAGAUAGAUGGAAAAUAGGUAGAGGAUGGAUAGAUAGAUGGUAGAUAGAUACAUACAUACAUAUAAAUGGGUAGAUAUAGAUAAGUAAUAGAAACAUAAACAGGUAAUAGACACAUAGAUACAUAAUACAUAUAUAUAUAUACAUACAUCAAUAGAGAAUAGAUGGAUAGGAAGAUGGAUGGAUGGAUGGAUAGAUAAAUAGAUACCUGGAGAUUAAGAGAAGGAGAAAUGAAGCUAAAUGAAGCUUCAUUUAGCUGAGAAACUGAAUGACCGUGGGCAAAUGUGUCAUCUCUCUGAGUCACUGCUGCUUCAUGGGGAAAGCAGGGACCAUUGAGUCAGGCCUGCUUCCAGGGUGUGUAGCUGAUGAAAUGACAGGCACCUGAGCACCUGGCACAGGACCUCUCAACAUGCAACUACGGCAUAGCAAAGAAGGGAUUUGACUCCUCAAGAACCAAAGAGGAAACCUCAAAAGAAAACCAUCAUAAUACAUAGAGCUCCUAAGAAAUAAUAUCAGCCAGCACCUGCUGCAAAGGGGCAUCCCAGGAUGUGUGACUGAAUCCUGUGGCAACACUGCGAGGUUGGCAUCAUUACCCCCACACCCUCCCCAACCGAGGAAAGAGCUGGAACCUGGGGAGAUGAAUGACUUGAUGUCCCACAGCCAACUGGCCUGCAGGCCCAGGGCAGGAACGAUCUGCGUAGGGUGAUUUUUCACACCACUGUAUCCCUAGUACCUAGACCGUCCACAUGGAACAGAUGUGAUCACCAAGUUUUAGAAGAAACUUGCAAGCCCAUCGUCCAACACUUAACAUCUUUAUAGAUGGGGAAAUCCAAAGACGACAACUCAGCCCUGUCCCUCGUUGCAUGGUGUUUGGUGGAUGACUUGGCAUGAAGCAUCAUAUCUACAAGAAAAACAAGUCAAAGGCUGAUGCCUCUGAUGGGGAAAUCACCACUCUCUCAGUGGGCAGCCACAGGAAAUGGGUACCUGUCUAUACUGGGGCCACAGGAUUAUGGGGCAAUAUCCCACAUGCCAGAGCAUAACAUAGAGGCUCAUUAAGGACAGAUAUUUGGGAGUGUAUAUUUAUCAAAAAUUCAGAUGGGUGAAUGGCCAUCACAAAUGGGAGAGAGAACUGUUAGCCAACGGGUGACUCAGGGGCUGAGUGUGCACCCCUGUUAUGAAAACUGAUUGUUAAAAAAAAAAAAAAAGUUGUUUGCACUCAUCACAGAUAUCAACAUUUGAAGGCACUGGCUGAUUCCAACUUAUGGCAUAAAUGACUAUUCAAUCGCAAUUGGAAUAGCUUAGACAAAUUAUCUGUGAUUAAAGCAGGCCAAUUUCUCAAAAUAAAAGUCCAACCUGGAGCACAAAUGAGCCUAAGCGCUUGGUCCUUGGAAUAGUGACUUUUCUCUCUUGCAAAGCUUGGUCUCUAACCAAAUAAGUAUUUACCUAUACAUUUAGAGUUCAGAUCAAUAGGAGGAAGAUGAAAUAGCCAAGACUGCUUUUGUUGCACAUGACAAUGACAUAACUCAUCUUGUUUAAGAAUGAAAGGAGGCCGGGUGCGGUGGCUCACGCCUGCAAUCUAAACACUUUGGGAGGCUGAGGCAGGCGGAUCAUGAGGUCAGGAGAUCGAGACCUUCCUGGCUAACAUGGUGAAACCCCAUCUCUACUAAAAAUACAAAAAAUUAGCCCGGCGAGGUGGCAGACGCCUGUAGUCCCAGCUACUCGGGAGGCUGAGGCAGGAGAAUGGCGUGAACCUGAGAGGCGGAGCUUGCAGUGAGCCGAGAUCAUGCCACUGCACUCCAGCCUGGGCAACAGAGCGAGACUCCAACUCAAAAAAAAAAAAAAAAGAAUGAAAGGGAACUUAGCACUUGUAACUGAAGCAUCCAAGUUUACUGCUGACUUCAGGCAUGCUGGAUCCAGGCGGCGAGAAGCGUUAUCAAGAAUGUGUCAUUCUCUAUUUCUUGGCUCUGCUUUCCUCUAUAUUGCCAUUACUUUCAAGUAGGCUGUCUCCAUGUGAAUGGCAAAGCAAUCAUCUGUAGCUUCAGGCCUAGAUGGUCCCCACAACUGGUGGCUCCAAAAGAAACCAAAAGAAACACACACACACACACACACACACACAUACACACACACACACACACACACACACACACCCCUUUUUCCCAAUAGCUCUCACGAAAGUCCCAGGCAAGAAUCUCUCUGGCUAUACUUGGAACACAUACCCAACCCAGAACCCAUUCUCCUUGUUGGCCAUUUUGUGCAUAUCCAGGUGAUCACCAUGACCAGCCAUGCUGCCAUAAGGAUUCUUUUCAAGUCUCUUUAGGCAUCCACAUAAGGGGUACUGUGGAGUAUAGAGAUGACUAUUUCUUUGAAUACUGUGAUAGAUGCAAUAGUAGACUUGCAUUCAAGGUACCAUAGUACAGUAUAAGAAAAAAUAUAUAUGCCUUUGUAAACUGUGCUUACUCGCUCAGGAGCAGGGGGACGCCCCCUUCUUAAGGGAAGAGCCGGCAUCACACGCCCUCCCAGCUCAAGCUUCCCCUGCGACCUGCACGUGUGUGAAUUGGCAGGCCCCACUAAUAUUGGUAUUUCCCUCUCAUUCCUACUAUUACCCCUGCCAAGCUUGGGAUGGCAGAGUUGGAGUCAUAUCCAUUCUAGGAGCCUAAAGAUGUGACUCCUCUGCAUUGAUGAGAGACACGGAAGAGGGAAAAGCAAGGAAAGACUUUAGUGAGCUCUGAAGUCCCACCUGCCACUCCACUAAAUGCCAGAAUCAUCUGGCCUCACUUAGUGGGUGGAGCAAAUUCCUGCCCCCCAGGGCCUCCCUCCUGAACCUGCAAGGUUGGUGGGAGAGGGAGACCCUCCCCAAAAGAGGAAGCCUGUUGUGUUGAGAGUGAUUUCAGAGACCUCAGCCAGGAAAGGUAAAUCAAAAUAACCCUUACACUCCGCCUCCUUCUUCCUUUAGAGGGGAAUGUUUCCUGGCACGGGUGCUGCAGCUUAAUAAAUUGCAUGCAGUAGAUUUCAGGCCUUGAGAAAAUCUUAACACUAGCUAAUAUGACCAGCACUAACAAAAUUUCUUGGAGCUUAUAAUAACAAAAAAAGCUCAUUGACGGAUUCCCACUUUUAUUCCUGCCCCCCUUUUCCACUUAGCCUUAAAUUUUUUUUAAUAAGAAAUUUUUAUUAACAAAAACAACAACAAAAAAAAAACAGAGUGAAGCACUUCACAAGAUCUUGCCCAGUUUAUUUUUUUAAUCUGUAAUAAUGAGCAUAACAGUUCAGCAAUGGAAUACUCACUCCAACAAAAUCUCCAGAUCUUUACAUCCUGAGUCUGCGAGGGCUGGACACAUGCCCUUGCUAAUUAUCAACCUUCUGAAACAGCUCAAGACAUGGGAUUAAAAACUGCUGUGGAAUUUGAACUCACGGACAUUCAUCUGAGUCAGCUACUCUGAACUCGCAUCUACUAUAAGGACCUGAGCAUUUCCUUCUCCCGUUUCCUCAGGACCUGCUCGGGGGUGUUCAGGGGAAGGUUGUCACAAACAUACUUGCAAUAAAAAUAAUCAAACAAAUGGAGAGCAUGUCUAUUUCCGGAAUUAGAUUCUUUUGAUAGUGAAGGAAUCAAAUGGGAUAAGGGGCAGGGAGAAGUCAGGUAAGUCCAAUAUUACUAUGUCCACAUGCUUAAAUUUCACUCCUCGGGGGCUUAUUGUCCCUAACAAUGGCCCUUUUAGCUAUGGAAUACGGGGAAUGACUAACCUUUUUCUAGCCUGUCAGUGAGAACUACCACUAUAUAUUGGUAAGUAUUUCCGUACAAAAUUCACUUGGAAAGGAUAUUGUUUCAAGCCUGGACAAAGCUCAUAUUGUCAUGUUCCAGUUCCAGUUAUUUUAGGCAAGGAAGGGGAAUUUCCACUGCUCCCUACAAUCAGUUUUGAGCACUUAGCUCUGAGUAAUAACUUCCUUGUAAUCUGUCAGAGCC